UACGUAGGGUGCGAGCGUUGUCCGGAAUUAUUGGGCGUAAAGGGCUCGUAGGCGGUUUGUCGCGUCGGGAGUGAAAACUCAGGGCUUAACCCUGAGCCUGCUUCCGAUACGGGCAGACUAGAGGUACGCAGGGGAGAACGGAAUUCCUGGUGUAGCGGUGAAAUGCGCAGAUAUCAGGAGGAACACCGGUGGCGAAGGCGGUUCUCUGGGCAUUACCUGACGCUGAGGAGCGAAAGUGUGGGGAGCGAACAGG
rnacentral:rRNA from 1 species